UACGAAGGGGACUAGCGUUGUUCGGAUUUACUGGGCGUAAAGCGCGCGUAGGCGGAUCGCUAAGUCAGGGGUGAAAUCCCAGGGCUCAACCCUGGAACUGCCUUCGAUACUGGAAAGCUCGAGUCCGGGAGAGGUGAGUGGAACUGCGAGUGUAGAGGUGAAAUUCGUAGAUAUUCGCAAGAACACCAGUGGCGAAGGCGGCUCACUGGCCCGGUACUGACGCUGAGGUGCGAAAGCGUGGGGAGCAAACAGG
rnacentral:rRNA from 1 species